AUUGAACGCUGGCGGCAGGCCUAACACAUGCAAGUCGAACGGUAACAGGAAACAGCUUGCUGUUUCGCUGGCGAGUGGCGGACGGGUGAGUAAUGUGUGGGAAACUGCCUGAUGGGGGUGGAUAAGUACUGGAAACGGUAGCUAAUACCGCAUAACGUCGCAAGACCAAGGAGGGGGAACUUCGGUCCUCUUGCCAUCGGAUGUGCCCAGGUGGGAUUAGCUAGUAGGUGGGGUAACGGCUCACCUAGGCGACGAUCCCUAGCUGGUCUGAGAGGAUGACCAGCCACACUGGAACUGAGACACGGUCCAGACUCCUACGGGAGGCAGCAGUGGGGAAUAUUGCACAAUGGGAGCAAGCCUGAUGCAGCCAUGCCGCGUGUAUGAAGAAGGCCUUCGGGUUGUAAAGUACUUUCAGCGGGGAGGAAGGGAGUAAAGUUAAUACCUUUGGUCAUUGACGUUACCCGAAGAAGAAGCACCGGCUAACUCCGUGCCAGCCGCCGCAGUAA
rnacentral:rRNA from 1 species